GUCGCAUAUAUCUUGAGGAAAGAGCUUCCGGAGGAUGAGGAAGAGGCUCGACAGAUCGUCCGCCGAUCUAAAGCCUUUACCGUAAUCAAAGGACAAUUAUACAGAGAAAGCGCGACUGGAGUCGGUCAGAAGUGCAUAACACCAGAAGAAGGUCGACUCAUCCUCAAUGAUAUUCACUCGGGGACCUGUGGUCAUCAUGCGUCCUCUCGGACCAUCGUGGCCAAAGCAUACCGAGCCGGAUUUUACUGGCCCAAGGCGAAUGAGAUGGCAAAAGAGAUAGUGGAUAAGUGCGAGGGAUGUCAGUUCUACUCGAAUAUGUCGCACAAGCCUGCGUCAGCUUUGAAG
rnacentral:rRNA from 1 species